rnacentral:misc_RNA from 1 species
UAUAAUUGACAUAAUCAAGUCACAGCUUGAAGAAGUGUGCCCUGGCGUUGUUUCUUGUGCUGACUUUGUUGUUUUAGCAUCCAGAGAAGGUGUUGUUCAGAUUGGUAUCUCAGUGCCUCCCUCCGUCCCUCUCUCAGUUUCUCACUGAAUAUGUGAAUUUCAGGCCGGUGGUCCAUUCUAUCCAUUAUAACCGGGCAGAAGAGAUGGUUUUCUCUCUUUCCCAGAUAUACGUGCUUCCUUCACUCCUAACCGAUUUAUCUGAAACCCUUGUCUCUUUUGCAUCUAGGGUUUUGAUGAAAGAGAAACUGUCAGUCUCAUGG